rnacentral:rRNA from 1 species
AUGGCGGCGGCGGCGGCGAAACUAGGCGAUGGCGGCCAUUCAACGGGUGGAGGUGGAAGGGGGGAUGGAGGCGGCGAGUUCUCAGAGGUUGAUAACUGGCUGGGGAGCGGUAGCUUCGCAACCCAGCCGGCGGCGCCGCCGCCGCCGCAGCGGACACCACAGGCUGCAGCUCUGAUGCAGGCUCCUACGACACAGGCUACACCGCCGUCGCCUGAUGAUUGCCAGUUCUCACUUGAGUACAGAGCAGCGAGGUCUCUUGCUAGGGCUAUGCAUGCAGAUCCGGCCAACUCCCAGCACUGGGCCUCUGCAUUUGGAGGGGUGAAGCUGGAUGAUGAAAUUUGGGAUGUUAGGCUGCAUUUCCAGGGCAGAGAUAAUAUGGAAAGGAGAUUUUCUGUUUCAGACAUCACAUUUCUGAACUUGAUAGCACUUACUGAGACUGAAGGCUAUGGGUCAGAUGACUACAUGUACUGGGUAAAAGAACAAGGGAUUGGACAGGAAGGUUUAUUUCUUCUGGACAGUCAAGAUGCAGUUGAAGAAAUGAUAGACCACCCAGAUUUCACAGUGCUCAAUAUCAUUGUUUCCAAGGCAAAUGAAGAUAGAGAUGUUGAAUCUAAUGAUGGAGAUGAUGAUGGGCAGGCUGCUAGUCAAGAGGAUGAUGAUAUUGACAAAUCAUCCUCAGACUUUGAGAUUGAUAGGGGUGACUAUAGAGGGAUAAAGAUGUCUUACAAGGCUUGGAAGAGAGGUGAAGAAAAUAUUGGAAAUGAAGAAGAAAGAGAUGCUAUAGAAGACAGACAACAGUUUGAAGGUGACAGUGAUGUUUCAGAGUUUUGGCAGGAGGAGAAAGAGGCAGACAGUGGAGAGGAAAUAGUUGUGGAAAAAUGCAGGCCUGAGAAACUCAAGCCUGUGAGAAGAGCAGCAGCAAAUCCAGGUCCAACUUCCAGAGCUCACAGUCAGCCAGAGAUCCCAAAGUUUCAAGAUUUUGUACCUGAAGCUGAUGAGUAUUGCUUCCCUGGUGAUGUGGGCAUUUCUGACUCAGAUGGGGAGACUCCAAGACUACCUUCUGGAAGGAAGAGAAGAUUGAAGAAGAAGAAAGAGAGGAAAUGGUAUGACCCAAAGGUACCUGAUGCACAUGAGCAGUUGUGCAAGGACCUUUGCUUCACCAAUGUGUAUGAGUUUAGAAAGGCAUUGAGAAAUUUUCAUGUUAGGACUUUGAGAAACUUUCAGUACCAUAGGAAUGAACCAUCAAGGGUUAUUGUUUGGUGCCCAAAGAGGAAGAAUGGAUGUGAUUUUUUCAUGACUGCAUCCAAAGUAGCCCAUGAAGAUACAUUCACAAUCAAGAAGUGCCACAUGGAUCAUAGUUGUGGAGCUUGUGGAGAGAGUACAAAGGUUACUGUUGAAUGGGCUGCAGAAGCUAUGGAGGACACAGUUAGAUCAAAUGUAAAGGCUGAUGUAGAGACAGUUCUCAAACAUACUAAGAAGAAGUUUGGGGUGCAUGUACCUAGGAGUUUGGCAUAUAGGGCAAGACUGAUGGCUGUUGAUGUUGUGCAAGGUGAUCAUAGAAAGCAGUAUCUGAGGUUGAGGGACUACCUACAAUGUGUGCUUGACACAAACCCUGGAAGCAGGUGUAUAGUGACAACUUUUGAGGAUCCUUUGAACCCAGCCCCCACACCAAGGUUCAAGUACAUGUUCUAUUGCCUCCAGGCAUCAAAAGAUGGAUUUCUUGCUAGUUGUAGGCCUUUCAUAGGACUUGAUGGUUGCUUCAUCAAGUUAUCCACAGGCCAGCAGAUAUUGGCAGCAACUGGGAGAGAUGGGAACAACAAUGUGUUCCCAAUUGCUUUUGGGGUGGUUGACAAAGAGGAUGGGCCUAGCUGGACCUGGUUUUUAAACCAACUUAGAGUCUGCAUUGGCACCAGCAACCAGUUUGGGAACUACACCAUCAUGUCUGACAGGCAGAAGGGCCUUCUUAAAGCAAUUAAUGAAGUAUUUCCUCAAUCCCCACAAAGAUAUUGCCUAAGACACAUAUAUGCCAACUUCCAGUCAGCUGGCUUUAGAGCAGAAGAACUUAAGAAAUGGGUUGACAAAGCUAGCUAUUCCUUCACUGAACAUGGUCACAAAGAAGGAAUGGCAGGUUUGAAAGCAGCAUGCGAACCAGCCUACAUGUGGUUGAAUGGCAUCCCUAAGGAGUGUUGGGCUAGAUAUGCAAUGGAUCAUGUGUGCAAGACUGACUUGGUAGUGAACAACCUUAGUGAGGUUUUCAACAAAAUGAUUCUAGAUGUUAGGUCAAAACCAAUUAAGACCAUGUUUGAAGGGUUGAGGACCAAACUAAUGGUUAAGUAUCAGGGCAUCAGAGAGAAAACAGAGAGCUGUAGGUGGGAAAUAACCCCACAUUACAUGGAGAAGCUUGAGGAGAGCAAGAAGUGGGCUAAAUACUGUGAAGCAAACAUGGCUGGUCCCAACAUCUGUCAAGUAACUAGUGGAGAGAACACAUACUGUGUGAAGCUUGAUGUAGGGAGCUGCUCUUGCAGGAGGUGGGACAUGACUGGAUCACCUUGCCACCAUGCAAUAUCUGCAAUGCAGAAGAUAAAAGUUCACCCAGAAGAUUAUGUGCAUCCAUUCUUUAAGAAGCCAAUGUAUAAGGCUGCAUACCAGCACAUCAUCUACCCUGUCCCUGGCCCUGAAUUCUGGCCCAACACCAACACACCAGACAUAGAACCACCAGUUUUUAGGGAGAAGAAAGGCAAGAAGCAGACAACUAGGAGAAAGGGUGAAUUUGAGGUGCCAGCUCCAAAGGAUACAUCAAGGAUGGGCACAAUAACAUGCAGUAACUGUGGUCUGCAAGGCCACAGGUGGACAAUGUGUGGAGACAGACUUAAGGCCAAGUUUAUGACAAGGAAAAACAACCACCAGGCCACAUCAUCAGGUCUAGCUCCAGCUUCAGGUCCAGCUCCAGCUUCAGGUCCUGCUCCAGCUUUAGGACCACUUAGGGGCAGGAAACUAGCAACAGCUUCAACAAGGUCAACCACAUCUGCUACAACAAGGGCAACCACAUCUACUGCAGUUUCAACAGGUGGAUCAAGAAAGAGAAAGAACCCACCACCUACUUCAGCACCAGCCAACAACACCAGGUCAAGUGCAUCAUCUCCAGCAAAGAACACCAGGUCAAGUGCAAGAGGUUUCAAUGCUCCAAGGGCAGCAUCAACAUCAGGUCAAGCUGAUGUUGGUUCUAAGAGGAAGAGGAAGGCCCCAAGCAAACUUGCUUUGUAUUUCACAGCUAGUGGCAGCCAUUGA